rnacentral:tRNA from 1 species
GGGGCCGUAGCUCAGCCAGGAAGAGCGGGGGACUCCAGAUCCCUUGGGCGUGGGUUCAAAUCCUACCGGCCCCA